rnacentral:lncRNA from 1 species
AGGCGCUUGGCGCUGCACCUGUCGUCGGCCGGUGGCAGGAAAGAGCCACGAAGGGCAUGGAGGAGCUCUGUGGAAAAUGGAAGCCUACGCAGCGGUCAAGUCAGCGCGGGGGGGUAGGGGACGCGUGGAAAGAGCCAUUCCACCUCAGCGGUGUGAGCCCGACCUGAGGCUUUUUUUUUUCCCUAGGAAAUAGCCAGUUGAAGGGAUGAUCUGAAAACAGUUUUCCGAGGAAACACUUAGUUAUUCAAGGUCGCUCCAACCAGUGAAAUCUAGACCUUUUAGGAGAGUGGUUUCAAAGACUAGAAAUACAGGAUCCCACGAUUUCAUAUUUAAAACAAGAUGCUUCAUUGCUGGGCACGGAGGCUGAGGCAGGACGAUCAUCAUGGGCCAGCCUGGACUACAGAGGUUUCACUCUAUAGCCUAUGCUGGCCUCAAAAUCACUAUAUAGAGCAG